CCUACGGGUGGCAGCAGUGAGGAAUAUUGGUCAAUGGGCGCGAGCCUGAACCAGCCAAGUAGCGUGAAGGAUGACUGCCCUACGGGUUGUAAACUUCUUUUAUAAAGGAAUAAAGUGCGGCACGUGUGCCUUUUUGUAUGUACCUUAUGAAUAAGCAUCGGCUAACUCCGUGCCAGCAGCCGCGGUAAUACGGAGGAUCCGAGCGUUAUCCGGAUUUAUUGGGUUUAAAGGGAGCGUAGGGGGGAUGUUAAGUCAGGUGGGAAAUUUUGGGGCUCAACCGUAGUAGUGCAGUUGAUACUGGCGGUCUUGAGUGCGGUAGAGGUAGGCGGAAUGCGUGGUGUAGCGGUGAAAUGCUUAGAUAUCACGAAGAACUCCGAUUGCGAAGGCAGCUUACUG
rnacentral:rRNA from 1 species